UUUUUACGCACAAAACCGAAACAGGCCAUCUAUCCCUUUUAAUAUUUAGCUCCAUCAAUGAUAAUAUACACUUUUGCGCAGAUGGCAUCAUCGUUAUAUUGAUAUGUUUUCACAUAAAUUGAUACAUUAAUGGCUCCGUGACAUUUUUGGUGGUUGUCGAAAUUAACCAUUCAUAGGUUGGAUGAGCUAGUGGGUUGGAUUCAGCUGUAAGGUCAAUAUACUCCCAACAAACAAACGCGCCAUACGGUUGCUUGGGAUGACAAUAGAAAUAGCAAUUGAAAAAUAUUUAAUAAAUGAAGCACCGUGACAACAAUUAUGUUUGUUGGCAUAAGGGGGUGGGAAGCCCUACAAGAAAAAGUAGGACUGCAGGGUUGACGAACGGCCGUGUGGACAGUUCAACGUGCAAUAGCCCGAGAAGGAACUACAGUGUUAUGCGCAGAGCGGUAUGCAUCGUCUCCAAAUACCUCUGACCGCUGUUACAUUCUGUGAACAGAACCAGGGGCUGGCUGCGUGAGCUUUUGAAGACAUGGGUUUUUGAUAUUAGCCCGACUGCUUAUAAUGAUAUCGUGCACUAUGACCUGUACACUAACGUUAGCCUUUUUCUUCCGGACAAACAUGGUAGUAGUUGUCUGGAUCAUUACCGAGAGCUGAAUGAACAUCCCUCCCGACGUAGCACGGUUUCAGCCAGGCAUGGCGAGAUUAGUGACCGUGGCGAGGACUACAGUCAUAUGCAUCAAAUGAUGCUGAGGAGCUUGUAUUGUGUGUUUAUCCUGAAACACUGGGUGUGCAAGAGUGGCCUAACUAUAGCCUAAUAAUUUGUCAUUGUCCCCUUCGUAUCUAACUGUCUGAGCAGAUAUAAAGAAAUGUGUAGCUAGACUAUCAGUUUACAGAGCACAUUGGGGGGCAAGUAUUAAUUUUUAUUUUAGGAUUGAGGAGGUGGACACGUAAAAGGCCCAUCUCCCCACAUUACGACAUGUAAUAGAGAGAAGUUUAAGUGGAGUCCGAGAAACCGAGAAGUUAAUAGCGCUGACCCUCUCGCCGUGCCUCUGUCGCUCAUCAUUUCUCAGACUUAAGGGGCUUAAAGAGGCAGUAGGCUAUGGGCACACCUUUAAUACAUAUCAAACGCUCUCUUUCUUAUCUACAUUAUAGGAAAUACAUGCAUCGUUGCGUGUUAUGCGGAUUUGGAAAUAGAAACAUGUCCAAUAAAGUCGCCCUCCCUAGCUGAUCAAAGGGGAAUAUGGCUUUAGGCACCAAAGACACUACCCCGUCUAUUUAAGCCAUUAUUAAAUUGUAUUAAUUCCCCUCUCCACUUUAAACUUAACAUAAAUUCCACCCAUGAGUUGUUUGUCCAGUACAGAGGGGAAAAAUUUAACUGUUACAUUUUGAUGGUUUCAUCAUGCCCCGAAAUUGAAUUCAAUUGGACAGAAUAAUCAAGAACGCAAAUAGAAUGUGUUCGGUUGCCCUCUGGACAAUUGGAGAUGUUUUUAUGCCAGCCUUGAUGGCAGACGUGUCAAGAUUCAUAAUUAGGCAUGCAGCUUUAAACCUCGGAAUGUAUGUCAGACACACAUCCAACUAAACAGAUAACCAUAUCUUAUCUUAACGCAAGCUUCUGACACCGCACGAAAACCCCACUAUGGAUUUAGCUACUUGCAGACCUACAGUUGUGUUCAAGUGUGAGAAUAGGCCAUCCACGUAAUGCAGCCUAUGCGUAAAAAGUCGAUGUUUGCAAAGUUUUCUUCUUGAAAUUGUUCAAUGCUAUUUUAUAUAUACGCUAUUUACGAGUUACGAGUUAUAGCCUGUAGAAAUGUUUUAUAAAUGUUUUAUAAAAGUCACUACUUGCUAUAUAAUGCAACACUAUUAAUUAUAGUUUUCCUACAGGAACAUUUUGUGAAAGUGACAUACUGUAGGCUACUUUCAGAUGGAUCUGCCUUCAUGGGCUUGGACAUAUUUUUCAACUCGCCAAAUUGUCUUAUCAAAAGGCAGGUGAAUAUAGCCCCCAUAUGUGUCUAUACAUCUUAACAAUUAUGGACCAGUUAUGGAACUUUUGUGUAGUGGUCAAUAAGAAACGUUAAACAAGAGGGAGUUUUAAUUUUGAUAAAUGUGUAUGUUCAUCUGUCAUAUACUAGCCUAUUGCCCUGCUACUUUAUGAAAUAUUUUUCAACUUACAUUUGUGAGAUUCUUUAUGUUGUACAAUAGGAGUGUAGUUGAACUGACAGAGGGGCAGGAGUGGUUGUUUCCACCAGGGUGGGGAGUUCGAGUCAUAUAGGUUACAGCUGCAUUACAUUUAGGCUAUGUAGGCUAUAGUGAAAGACUGACUAGAGAUGAAAGUGAAAUGAUGAGAAACACUACUCUGUUGUUCUAUAAACACUAUUGAAUAGGCUUUCAUAAUAAAUAUGAACAUUUAAUACAUUUAGUUAACUCAAAAAUCUUUAAUAAUGUUCUUGGGUAAUGUUAAAUGUUAUGUCUCCAGUUGAGCCACCUGGACCAUCAUUGUUUACUCUCCCAUGUGUGUAAACUUCAAGUGCCCUACAUGCUGAUAAAUACGUGUAGUAUAGCAAGCUCAACAGUCAAGUGUUGCUUGAAAAGAUUCGGAGGUAUCUUUGUGUGUAUUUGUAUCUGCCCUUAAAGUUUUGAUACAAUUAAUAAAUAUGCGUGUUUUAUAAUUGA